CGCAGCUUUGGGGACCGAUAUCACAUCAUCUGCUCCAACCUCCCCGCAAUGGGCAGAGAUGGCUCUCAGCUGGACUUGGCUUCUCAAAGGCCUUGAGCACCUUCAGUUGCCAUGGAGACUUUUUCUUUCCACCUGACUCGUGCUGUGGAUCUGUGCAUUCAGCUGAGCAAAGGAAGAAAUGAAAGGGAGCAGAACAGUGACUUGGUCGAUCCUGUGGAGGACACCUCAGCGUUUGGAAAUCUCUCUGUGUCAGCCUGCAUGUGUAGCACAUGAAACAAUCCAAAGUCUAUCAGCCAUACUCUGCAAGGAAAGUUUGCCAAGACUUUGUAUGUGGAGAUCCUCUCACUAAGCUGCUACCGUGAUGAUGUUACUGCAGAAAAUGAGAGAAUGCCCUUGGGUGAGUCUCACAUGAAUCAAGUGCCAUUUACAUGAAAAUAGCUAGGAACAAGCCUGCUCAUUUUCUCCUGUGUCAGACUUUGCAAACCUCACUCAU